AUAAUCUUUACUAUACUGAGUUAUCUCUAUGCUAUCUUACAGCAUACUUCCGAUUUUACACAAGAAUUCUUUACAGUACCCCAGGCUUCAGCAUGAUAAAGUUCAUCUGAUUUACUAUAUUCAAAAACACAGGUCUUCUAAUCACCCUGGAUGGAGGGGCCCAACCUCACAGUGGUGACUGAGUUCAUUCUGCUGGGCAUCACAGAUACCCCUGAGCUGCAGGUUCGACUGUUUGCACUGUUCUUCAUCAUCUAUGCAAUCUCAGUUAUGGGAAGCCUGGGCAUGAUCAUCCUCACCCACAUGGACCCCAGGCUGCAAACUCCCAUGUACUUUUUCC